rnacentral:rRNA from 1 species
UACGAAGGGUGCAAACGUUGCUCGGAAUUAUUGGGCGUAAAGCGCACGUAGGCGGCUUUUCAAGUCCCAUGUGAAAGCCCACGGCGUUAACCGUGGAAGUGCAUGGGAAACUGGAAGCUUGAGUACUUAAGAGGAUCGCGGAAUUCCCGGUGUAGAGGUGAAAUUCGUAGAUAUCGGGAGGAACACCGAGUGGCGAAGGCGGCGAUCU